rnacentral:rRNA from 1 species
UACGUAGGGUGCAAGCGUUAAUCGGAAUUACUGGGCGUAAAGCGUGCGCAGGCGGCUAUGCAAGACAGAUGUGAAAUCCCCGGGCUCAACCUGGGAACUGCAUCUGUGACUGCAUCGCUGGAGUGCGGCAGAGGGGGAUGGAAUUCCGCGUGUAGCAGUGAAAUGCGUAGAUAUGCGGAGGAACACCGAUGGCGAAGGCAAUCCCCUGGGCCUGCACUGACGCUCAUGCACGAAAGCGUGGGGAGCAAACAGG